AUGCAUAUUACCCUUUUAGACAUUAAUCUAACCAUGAAAUGAUAGGAGAGAGCAAAUUUCAUGAAAGGGGAUGGUGUAAGAAGAUACAUACUUGAGUGACUAUUGAAGUUUAGAAAACAUAUCCAAUGUGUGAUAAUCACAUGAAUUUGAACAUCUCUAGUGCAACAAUCUUGUUGGUUCAAGUGAGCUAAAUUGAAAAAUUCAAAUGAUAUAAGUCACCUUAUCUAAUAUUCAUAUGUUUCAAUGUAACACUGCAAAUAUGAAUAUUUCUGUGCUUAUUUAGCUACUUAACUCAUUCUUAGAAAAAUUGUUGCUACGGUCAGUCAUUUUAAUAACUUUAAUAUUUGUGCACAAGAUUGUUUUUUUUAUUAUUUUGACUUUGAAUCAAAGAUAUCUUACUAAACUCAUUCGACAGGUGGCUAUGAUUGAGGCCUAUUUACAUCCAAACAAAAUGUUUGUUGACUAUAAGGAGGUAAGACACUAACCACUUCAUUGUGUAACUGUGUUUGUUUGAAUGUCUGAGCAGCCUCAGAAGGAAAGGGUUUAUUCAUCUUAUCUAGAAUUAAACCUUGAAGAUUGUUCAGCCCUGCAUUUCAGGUCCUAAAAGAGAUGAAAGCAGAUUGGCAUUCUUGUCUUGACAACAAAGUUAGAUUCAAGGGAUUUGCAGUGCCCAAGAAAUCACAAGAAAAAGUUGUGAAGUUUGACUUUCAUGGCCAAUCAGUCGAGCUCAAGCAUGAUAGUGUUGUGCUUGGUGUUGGACUUGUUGCCAAGAAGUCUUG